rnacentral:miRNA from 1 species
AGUUAUCGCGGUUUAAAAACGAGCUAUUUUUGCUAUAUUCUAUAAUAGCAAAACUAGCUAAUUUUCAAACCGCGAUAACU